rnacentral:misc_RNA from 1 species
AACCGCCGUGUACCGGCCCGUACGCACGGUGGUGUGGGAGGAGUCGGGCCGCGAGGCCUGCCCCUAUCCCAAU